rnacentral:rRNA from 1 species
GGUCCCAGUUCAGAUUGCAGGCUGAAACCCGCCUGCAUGAAGACGGAAUUGCUAGUAAUCGCGGAUCAGCAUGCCGCGGUGAAUACGUUCCCGGGCCUUGUACACACCGCCCGUCACACCAUGAGAGUCGGUAACACCCGAAGCCUGUGAGCUAACCGUAAGGAGGGCGCGGCCGAAGGUGGGUUCGAUAAUUGGGGUGAAGUCGUAACAAGGUAUC